CUUGUUCAAUUAUAGGAGGUCCAGCCUGCCCAGUGACUUUGUUCAACGGCCGCGGUAUCCUAACCGUGCGAAGGUAGCGUAAUCACUUGUUCUUUAAAUGAGGACUAGUAUGAAUGGCCCCACGAGGGCUGCACUGUCUCCUUUUUCUAAUCAAUGAAACUAAUCUCCCCGUGAAGAAGCGGGAAUAAUCCUAUAAGACGAGAAGACCCUAUGGAGCUUUAAACAACUGAAACAUUUGCUUUUCUCCUAAUUCCUCCCGAGCUCUUUAUUUUUACUUAAGCAUUAUUAUUUCUAGUUUUAGGUUGGGGUGACCACGGAGCAAAACUAAACCUCCAUGAAGAAAUGAAUAUUUUUAAGCUACAAACUACUUUUUUAAGCAUCAACAAAUUGACCUUCAUUGACCCAAUAUAUUGAUCAACGAAC
rnacentral:rRNA from 1 species